ACAUUUACACAUAAGUCCUCAUAUUAUUAACUAAUGAUUAGUAAAUACACCAUGCAACUUUUACACAUAAAUACCUCUAAUUUACAACAAUUACAAAUUAGUCCUUUUACUAAUAAAUUAGUAAACUUUAGUAUUUAACUGUAUUAUAAUUGCAAUUAACCCAUUCGAUAAACUUUUUUUAUCGUCUCCUUAACAUCGAUCAUACGUGAUUUCUUAUGU
rnacentral:lncRNA from 1 species